AUAGGCAAUAUAUUUGGCAUUAUUUGAGAUAAUUACUUAAUCAUUCUUUGAUACACAUGUGGUCUACUGGUUAUUAUGGUCUGUGUGUGUGUCCCCCCAAAACUCAUGCUUUGAAACAAUCUCCAGGGUGGCAGUAGUAGAGGGUGGGGCUUUGUGGAGGUGAUUAAGUCAUAAAGGCUUCACCUUUCUGAAUGGGAUUAGCACCUUAGGAAAGAAACCUCAGGGAGCUAGCUCACCCCUUCUGUUAUCUGCAGACACAAGAAAGCCCUGGCUGUGUGACAGGCUCCUCAGGAGGCACAGCGUCAGCCAGCACCAGAUCUUGGAAAUCCGAGCUUCCACAACUGAAGGUGAUGUUGCAUCCACUCCCAUAUUGAUGCUGACCUUGGCCAUGUGACUCACUUCCAUCAAAGAGGUGCCAGAAAAUGCCACAGAAGGAGGGAGCUGCAAGCUUCAAACUACUGCUGACUUCUAAUUAGGUUUGGCUGCAGAAGGCAUUGGUAUUUAUGGGGCGUCUGAGACCUUAUCUCAGACAGUUCAUGGUCUCCAACCUGGAUCCGGCUGUCUCCACAGCAGAUGCAGCAAUUGAUUCAAGGUCCUUCAGAGGUUCCAGCAAAUGUAGGACAGAGCUCUCCCUCGGUUCUAGUCCUAUUUCUGGGUGUCCCUUCGAAGUCUCUGGACCUCUUUCCACCAAGAGUCCUCGGACCAACUGUGCAGCAGCUUCACUGGUCCAAUACCUACUGUGUGAAGUGUCCGUGAGGAUCCAAGCCCUUCCUCAUGAUGCUCCCUUGGUGGAGUUACCACCUCCCUGGCUGAGAUUUGGAGCUCUGAUCACAACUGCCCCAAUUUUGCAUUCUUGCAGCCUGAGAGAGAGCAGCUGCUUGCUGUGUUAAUAACGUUGGUAUUAUUUCACCGUCCCCAUUGCUCUCCCUGCCUUUCUUGCAUUUUAAUGAACACCCUACAUUAAAUCCUAUGAAAAUCUGGAGCACUGUGUUUUUAUGACUUAAGGGAGAGAGAGAAAUGCUGCAUAGCCCAUUUAACAGUAAAUAUUUAAAUAUGUAUUAAACCUACUACUCCGGCAUCUAGACCCAACAUCUAAAUUUCUACUAUAGAAUUUUUCCCUCUGUUGCAAGUUGAGAAACUUUCCAACUUCACAAGUAAGGCUUUCAAAAAGUACAGAAAGUUUUCUACAAGAGAUUAGGCCACAGGGUAUGAAAGACCCUUGAAAACAUGAUUGCUCCUACAACCAAAUCUGAUACCCCACAUUGGAAUGCAGCAAGGUCUUUAUUCGAGCCAUACCAGCCAAACCACUUGUAUUUCCGUAAGUAUCAUAGAUUGAUGUGCAUUUUUAAUUUGCACAAAGCAUAUGUCUGUGUGGUCCCCUCAUGACACCUCACCCUUCACUCAUGCUCCUAAGAUUAUCAUCAAAACUCACAUUCUCACAGAAUCUUUCCUCACCCAGAAGAUA